UCCUCCGUGGCGCAAUUGGCUAGCGCGUCUGACUGUUAAAUGGUCUCGAUGCCGUAUAGGCACUCGACAUCUUUGCAAUCAGGAGGUUGACAGUUCAAGCCUGUCCGGGGGAG
rnacentral:tRNA from 1 species